rnacentral:lncRNA from 1 species
CGUACGGGGGUAUGGGCCAGGCCAAUAGAAGCGACAGUUGUGAAGACAAAACAGUUGUGGUGAUCUGCAGUAGGAACGAUCGGUUCUUGCUCAGCCUGUUCUGAACUACAGAUGGACGGAACGCGACACGACACAACAGUGCAGCACGCGAGGCAGGCUGCAGAAUUCAACCGCUGCCACAGUGUAUACCUGACGGGUCUCCUACUGCUGGUUGCAAGCAAGCACGUACGGCAACCGACCAUGGCAGGCGAUACGACACGUACGUACAUACACAGGUUCGCCUGCCUGCCCGCAGCAACACGAAACCGGCAACCAUGGCGCUGUCGUAUACGUACUGCAUGGGUGCUAGAGCCAGCCAGGCUAGCUGAGCUGCUGCACCGGCGAGAGGCGCGGCCGCUUGUAUCCGUCCGCGGCGGCGGCGGCGGCGAGGAGCUCCUCCCGGUUGAGCAGCACGGUGCGGAGCGC